rfam:Picea glauca, whole genome shotgun sequence.
AUGUACAUUCCUACAUCAUAGUUUUAAUGCAUCGGAUCCAUUAGAACUCCACAGUUAAGCGUGCUCAGGCUAGAGUAGUACUGGGAUGGGUGAUCGCCCGAGAAGUCCUAGUGUUUUACAUU